AAAAGAGCAUUUUUUACAGCCUAGUUUGAUAAGUAAAAGGUAUCUUUCUCACCUGCUUGCACUCUGAAUUGUCACUAUCGUGCUUUGUUCCUUUGCAUGCGGCUGUUGUCAGCUUCCGAGUCACAGAACCACUUGCAGGAACGGCUCGGGAGAGUUUUGGAAGAAAGGAGAGGGAAAAAAGGAGCUGCAUUUUUAUUUAACAGAAGAAGGAGAACAUAAAGAAAAGAAAGGUGUUCUCAAGAAUGUAGCCCGCAGCCUUGUCAGGUAGCAUUUCUUCAGAUGUUUUUUUUUUCUCCCCUUUCCCACCCCAAGAUCUCUCUUCAUCAUUUUUUUAAACAUCUCUUCUGGGACAGGGACAUGAAAGUGAAUUGUUGGUCAAAGUCAAGAAUUAGGGGUUGCCGGGGCUGCUUUCUGAUGGCUUUACUUUAUCUUUGUGUCCAAGCUUUUGCCAGUCAGCAGGUACCGCGGGUUAUCCAUUCCAGUCACAUCAUUUUCUGCUUGAUGACAAGCAUCACACCUUCAUCCAUCACAUUUACAUUUCAAACUGCCACACUGCUCUAUUGAUUAAUUAUUUAGCAGCUCUUGGCCACUUGCGAGUGUUUCUGUGCUCACGUUUCACUGAGAAGGUCCGUUCUUUUUAUUUGUGUACGGUUUUGUAAAGCAGAAAAAAUAUGUAAUGCCUUUAGCACACCCACCCGCGUGCAUGUAUGCUAAUAUAUACGACACGGCAAUAUAUAUGCAUAUGUGUGUGCAUGUUUAUGCGUGCGUAUGUGCGUGCAUCGGUACAAUUAAGUACACACAAGGAGUGAGAGCAGGUAAUCUGAUCAAUAAGCACAUGCUCACACUGAUAAUAGGUUUCUGAGUUGUCAGAGACCUGAACAGACGAUCAAUGAGACCUUGCAGGUGUGCUGGAGCCGGGAAUUGGAUCAGCUACAUCCCUGCAGACCAGUGGGAAACUUGCACAUCAUCCUCUGGGCUCUGUCACUCAGAACAAAAAAGGCUGAAAGUCUUUUGCAGGUGCUUGAUAAUGUUUAUGUUUCUUUCACAUCACAGGCAGGAAAAGGGCAGCCUCUACACAAGAGCCAAGGAGAUCUGGUUCCAUCUAGGCCUCCAUUAUCCCAGGCAAAUCACUUCAUCUUUCUUUUCCUCCGUUCUCUUUUGGUGAAAUGGAAAUCCUGUGGCAUCUGGAAAAUAAAUCCACUACUCUGAUGGGAAAGCUGGCUACCCAAAGCACAGAGCAUUUAAAAGCAAAAUACUUCAGUGUCUUCAAGCACGAGACCUCCCACAAGCUCACAGUGAAGUGCACCUCCUAGCCGCUAAUGCAGCCGCAUUUCAGCAAUCUAAUAGGUAUCAGAUGAACGCUGAAGUUGAAAACAAAUUGUCUUCUGCACUCCCUGAGCUGACUUGAAAGCAAAGUGUGUAAACUGAGGCAUGGACCAGCCAUUGCCUUAUCCAAAGCCAGUGCAAGCAAUUUAAAUGGUAUCUGGUAUUUAUUCUUCUGCCCCGUAAAUUACUUAACUCUUCAAUUGUUUUUGAUAAUUUAACAGUUUUGUUAAGUAUAAGU
ensembl:lncRNA